rnacentral:lncRNA from 1 species
UAAAGCAGUGCAGGGAGCUUGCAGCAAGCCCCUGCCAACUUACGCAAUUGAGCCUCAGUCACCCUCCAGCAUUAAUGCUGAUGCUUUUUUGAGAGAAGUAUGUGAAGAGCCAAUGAACAAGCUGGUCCCUUCAGAAAACCUAUAUGCUCAGGACAGCAUUUGUGACUUUGUCUUCCAAAAGAUUUCUGGGAAUCCAUUGCAGAACACUUCUUCUGGAGAAUUACCACUUCAUCACUGUGCUGAAGCUGAGAACAUUGUUGAAAAUAGUGUACACUAAGAGAUGCUACUGAGCCUCUGGAUAACCAAAGCAGUUUAUCAUCAGAUCUUGGUAAAGUAGUUCCUCUUACCACAGGAGAACUAGCAGCAAAUCUUCUGCCAACAUUUUCUUCCCUCUUUCCCAUUGCAGAUUUGGAUGUAGGAAAGACUUUGUUGCUAAACAAUGCAACUAGAAAAAUACUGAAAGCUGUCCAACCCAAGAUGGACCUCCCUGCACAACUGACAGCCCUCCACACAGAGGAGGGAGAGGAGAUGAUGGAGGAAAAGCCUGAACCAGAGCAACACUGGGAGGAAGAAGAGGAGCUGCAGCAGCAAAUAGAGGAGGCCAUUGAAGAUGAACCCUCUCUGUACUUGGGGAGCCCAUUGGCUACAUCCAUGGGCAGUGAACAAUUCAGUGAGAAUGUUGAAGAACCCCCACCAGCACUGGCAAUGCAGAGAACAGGGAUUUAUGCUGACAUGUGCAAGGCCCAGGAUACAGGAGACUCUUUAUACACAUGCGAGAAGGUAGGACAGACGGGGCCCUUGUUCCACCUACUGACUUGAGCUUCACCUGGUCAUUCACGGCACCACCAGGAACCGUGGCUGGGAGGACAGCCCCACCACCGCCGCCUAUCCCUCAUUCUGUGGCUGUGUAAUCCUGAGGAGCACACAUCAAACAGCCCUGCUUCCUUUUUUUUUUUAAUCUUUUUUACUCA